UACGGGGGGGGCAAGCGUUGUUCGGAAUUACUGGGCGUAAAGGGCUCGUAGGCGGCCAACUAAGUCAGACGUGAAAUCCCUCGGCUUAACCGGGGAACUGCGUCUGAUACUGGAUGGCUUGAGGUUGGGAGAGGGAUGCGGAAUUCCAGGUGUAGCGGUGAAAUGCGUAGAUAUCGGGAGGAACACCAGUGGCGAAGGCGGCAUCCUGGCCUGUAACUGACGCUGAGACGCGAAAGCGUGGGGAGCGAACCGG
rnacentral:rRNA from 1 species